GUCCACGCAGUAAACGAUGAAUACUAGCUGUAUGCGAUAUACUGUAUGUGGCAAAGCGAAAGCGUUAAGUAUUCCACCUGUGGAGUACGUUCGCAAGAAUGAAACUCAAAGGAAUUGACGGGGGCCCGCACAAGCGGAGGAACAUGUGGUUUAAUUCGAUGAUACGCGAGGAACCUUACCCGGGCUUGAAAUGCAUCUGACCGAUCUGUAAACAGAUUUUCUAGCAAUAGCAGAUGUGUAGGUGCUGCAUGGUUGUCGU
rnacentral:rRNA from 1 species